UUUUUUUUUUUUUUUUUUUUUUUUUUAAGUAGAGACGGAGUUUCACCGUGUUAGCCAGAAUGGCCUCCAUCUCCUGACCUCGUGACCUGCCCGCCUCGGCCUCCCGAAGUGCUGGGAUAACAGGCGUGAGCCACCGCGCCCGGCCGAGGUGUUCUUUCUAUGUCAGUGGUUCUCAACCUUGACCGCAUGUUAGAGUCGUUAGAGGAGCUUAAAAUGUCCAGACUGUGCCCCAGAGCAGAAUCCCUCGGGAUAGGGUCGAUGGAUUAGGACUUUUUUUAAGCUGAUAAUUUUAUAUCUAUGUAAGAUCUUCUGUUUCCUGAACUUCGUGUGAACAGGUCAGGCGCCUGUUGGACCCCUGGAGCCUGGUUAAUGGGAACGACCACAGUGGGCAUCAAAUGGGUAACUUCAGUACGCCAGCACGGUUGAGAACUAUUGUUCAACGCGAACUUCACAUAUGAAGCCCCUCUCAUGUGUCAGGCACGGCGUCAGAUGCUGGUAGGGACUGAAUGUUUGUGUCCCCCAAAAUUUGUAUGUUGAAGUCACACCCUCAGUGUGAUGGUAUUGGGAGGUGGGGACUCGGGCAGGUCUGAGGUCGUGAGGAUGGAGCCUCAUGACAGGGUGAGAGAGAGCCCUUACAAGAAGAGACACAGGAGAGAUGAUCUCUUUCUGUCUCCUCUCCGCCAUGUGAGGACGGCAAGAAGGUGGCCUUCUGCAAAUGGGGAUGAGUCCUCACCAGGUGUGGGAUCUGCCAGCACCUCGAUCUUGGGCUUCCCAGCCUCAGUACUGUAAGAAGUAAGUGUCUGUUGUUUAAGCCACCCCAUGUAAUAUAAUUUUGUUAUAGCAGCCUACAUUGAUUAAGACAGAUGCUAAGAAUAUGAAGGUGAAGAAAUGUCCCAGUACUUCAUGGGAACACAUCCCAGUGGCUUACAGAAUCAAAGAUGAAAGAGAGAGGGAUACACGUGGUUGCUGGCUCUUCCCUGCUGCUCAGAUGCCUGGAUCACUUGACUGCCUUCUCUAUCAAAGAGUUUCGCUCUUUCACCCAGGCUGGAGUGCAGUGGCACGAUCUUGGCUCACUUCAACCUCUGCCUUCCAGUUUCAAGUGAUUCUACUGCCUCAGCCUCCCAAGUAGCUGGGAUUACAGGCACCCACCACUAUGCUCGGCUAAUUUUUUUGUAUUUUCAAUAGUGACAGAGUUUCACCAUAUUGGCCAGGCUGGUGUCGAACUCCUGACCUCAUGAUCUGCCCACCUCUGCCUCCCAAAGUGCUGGGAUUACAGGCGUGAGCCAUCGCGCCCAGCCCAUAAGUUUUAGUGCCUUUUUUUCAUAGAUGCUGAAACUGAAAAAGGGUGUGGUUAAAUAAUUUGCCCAAGCCAGUCUCUGGCAAAGAUGGGAUUCAUAUCCAGCUACUGAUGACCAAACAUGGUGAGCAGGUAUCCUAUGUCCCGAGGAAGCCCAUUCCACCUGAGCACUGGAUGGAAGGGAUAUCGCAAUCACCCCCAUGCAUGAUGGACAGGUCUAGGAGCAUUGGACACUCAAUGGAAACUCAUGCCCCUGUCAGAAAUUGGCAACUGCCACUUCCACGGCACUUGCAAACUUUGCACACGGUCCAGAUGUGGCCUGGCUUGUUGCUGUCAUGGUAGCAAUAGUAAUUACUUAGGGGAUUUCUGCAGAUCUUGCUCAUAUUGUGCAUAAUAGGGUAUAAAAUAUGGAAAAUUUGCCUCUAAAAUAAAGUGUUGCUGGCAAA
ensembl:lncRNA LINC02649 long intergenic non-protein coding RNA 2649